rnacentral:tRNA from 1 species
GCCUGCCUAGCUCAAUCGGAUAGAGCGUCAGACUCUUAUGAGCGCGGGUUAUUCCGUUAUCUGAAGGCUGCGAGUUCGACCCUCGCGGUGGGCU